AUUGAACGCUGGCGGCAGGCCUAACACAUGCAAGUCGAACGGUAACAGGAAGCAGCUUGCUGCUUUGCUGACGAGUGGCGGACGGGUGAGUAAUGUCUGGGAAACUGCCCGAUGGAGGGGGAUAACUACUGGAAACGGUAGCUAAUACCGCAUAACGUCGCAAGACCAAAGAGGGGGACCUUAGGGCCUCUUGCCAUCGGAUGUGCCCAGAUGGGAUUAGCUAGUAGGUGGGGUAACGGCUCACCUAGGCGACGAUCCCUAGCUGGUCUGAGAGGAUGACCAGCCACACUGGAACUGAGACACGGUCCAGACUCCUACGGGAGGCAGCAGUGGGGAAUAUUGCACAAUGGGCGCAAGCCUGAUGCAGCCAUGCCGCGUGUAUGAAGAAGGCCUUCGGGUUGUAAGGUACUUUCAGCGGGGAGGAAGGGAGUAAAGUUAAUACCUUUGCUCAUUGACGUUACCCGCAGAAGAAGCACCGGCUAACUCCGUG
rnacentral:rRNA from 1 species